GGAUUAGAUACCCUGGUAGUCCACGCCGUAAACGAUGAGAACUAGAUGUUGGGAGGGUUUGCCUCUCGGUGUCGCAGCUAACGCGUUAAGUUCUCCGCCUGGGGAGUACGCCGGCAACGGUAAAACUCAAAGGAAUUGACGGGGACCCGCACAAGCGGUGGAGCAUGUGGUUUAAUUCGAUGCAACGCGAAGAACCUUACCUGCCCUUGACAUCCUCGGAACUUGUCAGAGAUGACUUGGUGCCUUCGGGAACCGAGUGACAGGUGCUGCAUGGCUGUCGUCAGCUCGUGCCG
rnacentral:rRNA from 1 species